CAGAGAUGGAAGCGGUCAGCAGUUCAACAGCAGUGUUAAUUUUUGUUUCUUUGACUGGUGCGAUGAUGGCAAUCGUUAUAACUGGAACAAUUCUGGGAUUUAUCCACAGGAGAAGAAGUUGUUGCAACUGUUCAAGGUCAGAAGAUCCUGGAUCACCUGAACAUGAAACUCCUGGCUCUUCAGAUGAAAAUGAACCAGAUGAGCCUUACUCAAGCCUUCAACACCCCACAAAUGAUGUCUACCAGACUAUCACCUCAGUUCAACAUGACAGCAAGACUAAUUCAGCAAACAAUAUAACUGUGGACUUGGUCUGACUUGAUGGAUAUGAACAGUGAAUGUUAGAAUGUGAGUCCUGCCACACUUUUAAUGUGACUUUCUCCUCUUCUUCUUCUGCCUUUGAGUUACUGUUUACAAAAUCCCCUUUGCUUCAGAAAAUAGCAAAAAGAACAACCUCACAGCAGCAACUUACAGACUAAAAAUAUCUACAGUGGCAGUGAAUUAGUUAUUGAAUUACAACACUUGAUUCCCUUCAUGCAAAUGUUCCAGCAAAACAAGUUCCCUCGUCACUACUGUUGUGGGACAUCAUUGCUGCAUCUUAUCCAAGAUGAUUUUAUUUGGUUUAAAAGAAGAGAAAGAAACAAUCAGGAGUGUUUGUACCCUCCUGAAGCAGAAUGAUGUUGAGGUGCAGUCACACCAUUCUACACAGUGAUGUGUAAAAUAGUCUGUCGCCUAUCUGAAAACACUUAAACAAAAUGUGAAGCCAACCUAAAUAUGUUUGAUGCAGAUGCAGAUUUACACUAACCUUGCCAGCAAGUUGAUUUCUUGCGAUAUUUGUGAGUUCACAAAUCUCUCAAGAAACCAUCUUGCACCGCUCCCGCAUUCACUGUUCGUACAGAGCCAAGUUGGCACGGGCCAAUCACGCAGCAGUAUUCGUGUGUGGGGCGGGAUAUCCGGGUGUGAAGACGACACCAAGCGCCAGUAGAUCAAAACAAACAUGGCAACGGAGGACAACGAUCGUGUAGAUGCUGCUAUUAAGUCAGUUUUAGCUGAAUCUCCUAUCGCUUCUUUGAAGGAAGAACAACGAGAGGCACUUUGCGCAUUUGUGGAUGGUAAAGAUGUUUGUGCUUUUUUACCUACGGGUUUUGGUAAGAGUUUAAUCUACCAAUUGGCUCCGCUCGUUGUGAAGAUCCCGCGAUUGGCUAAAAACAAACCUGUCAGAGGCGGGACAUACUGUUGCAUUGUCCAAUCCGUGCCUCUUUCCUCCGAACGGAUUUACAUGGAGCGGUCCCAGAUUGAUAUUGUGGAGUACUAUCAAGUACUACACAAUUAUUAAUCUGGCUAUUGCCAGGUUAGAUUUACACACGUGAAGACGUCUUCUUUAUGUGGAAUAUAGACAAGAAGAUGAUGUUCUUGAAACUGGUGUCGCUGUUGGUCUUCAAAAAGAAGGAAAAUUGCUUCCCUCAUGACUUGGAUAAUAAAUAAAAACUAAACUCAGUUUCUGGGGAAAGUUACUAUCAGGUCAUGAGAGAGGUUUGCUACUGAUCACAUGUGCAAUGCUACAGUUCUGUGUGGUCUUCUGGAGGAAAGUGUUAACAAAAAUAAAGCCAUGUGAUAUAUUUAAUGAUCAGAAAUGUUUGGAGGAGAGAAGGUGAGGCCUUUAACCUCAAGAACACCGUACCUACCAUCAAGCAUGGUGGUGGCAGUAUCAUGCUCUGUGGAAGUGGAGCUUUACACAAAGUAAAUUGAAUAAUGAUAGAUAAAAGAAAGAUAAACCAGAAGCUUGUAGACAAAAACCAAAAGAACCAAACUGAGAGGAAAAUGGCCAACGGAAAUUUCACUAAAUUCAGAGUUACAGAAGUAAUUGUAAACCCAGGACUGUUGUGAUUUAUAUGAUCUUCGCAAGUGUAUGUAAAACUUUUUUUCCACAACUGCUUUUGUUUUAUUGAUUCAAGAGCAAUAUAUAAAUGUAUUGCUGUUGUACUGUGACUUGUUUGCACUGGUUGACAACGAAAGGCUAAUACAAUAUUUUGUCAUAUUUUUUACGAUGUUGAAUCAUUAUAAUGCACCAUCUGUUGGACUAAGAUGCUUUAACACUUGUAAGUCUUGAAAUCAGGGUGACUGAUUUGUUCAUUUUCAUUC